rnacentral:sRNA from 1 species
UGAUAAGUUUGUUCUUGAUUUGGAAAGAUAAGGAAAGAUGGAUUUGCGGAUGUUGGGAUUGAGUUAUCCUCGCUCAAGUGAGGGGUUUUGAAGAUGUUGCGUUCCCUGAGCUGUGCGUGAGGUGGUGGUGGUUGUGGCGGGUCCUUGGUGGUGCAGGUGGUGGCUUGCGAUGGUGCCCGUUGGCAUGUGCGAUUGCAUAAUCGUUGUUUGGCUCAGUGGAUGUGCUCCUUCACUUGGACACGUUGAAAAUUUCAGCAACCCCAUUUGCUGAAAGGGUGGCGAGUCCAUUGAGAAACCAGGAAAAGUUUGUUUGGUCCGAGAAGGAGUCCAUGAAUGGCUUUGGGAUGGGUUGGAACCCAUUUCAUGACUUGGGGAACCGAUUCCCAUGAUGAGUUCGAACCGAUUUGAUGACUUGGGGAAUUGAUUAUCAUGUGCAUAUAAUUGUUUUUUUAAAGCUAUGAGGUA